CAGAGAUGCCGGGCCCACCAACCAACAUAGCCAUCUCCAACAUCGGCCCCCGCUCUGUAGCCCUGCAGUUUAAACCUGGCUUUGACGGCAAGACGUCCAUCUCACGCUGGCAGGUUGAGGCACAGAUUGGUAUAAUCGGGGAGAAUGAGGAGUGGGUGAUGGUCCACCAGUUGCCCAACGAGCCUGAUGCCCGCUCCCUGGAGGUCCUGGACCUGAACCCCUACACCUCCUAUAGGUUCCGUAUGCGCCAGGUGAACAUAGUGGGGACCAGUCCUCCCAGCCAGCCCUCUAGGAAGAUCCAGACCCUGCAGGCACCUCCAGAUAUCUCCCCCUACAACGUCACCCUCCGAACAGCCUCAGAGACCAGC